rnacentral:rRNA from 1 species
ACACCGGCAGCUCAAGUGGUGGCCGUUUUUAUUGGGCCUAAAGCGUUCGUAGCCGGCCUGAUAAGUCUCUGGUGAAAUCCCGCAGCUUAACUGUGGGAAUUGCUGGAGAUACUAUUAGGCUUGAGGUCGGGAGAGGUUAGAGGUACUCCCAGGGUAGGGGUGAAAUCCUAUAAUCCUGGGAGGACCACCUGUGGCGAAGGCGUCUAACUGGAAUGAACCUGACGGUGAGUAACGAAAGCCAGGGGCGCGAACCGGAUUAGAUACCCGGGUAGUCCUGGCCGUAAACGAUGUGGACUUGGUGUUGGGAUGGCCUCGAGCUGCCCCAGUGCCGAAGGGAAGCGGUUAAGUCCACCGCCUGGGAAGUACGGUCGCAAGACUGAA